rnacentral:rRNA from 1 species
UACGAAGGGGGCUAGCGUUGUUCGGAAUUACUGGGCGUAAAGCGCGCGCAGGCGGUCUUCCAAGUCAGUGGUGAAAGCCCGGAGCUCAACUCCGGAACUGCCAUUGAAACUGUGAGACUUGAGGAUGAGAGAGGUGAGUGGAAUUCCCAGUGUAGAGGUGAAAUUCGUAGAUAUUGGGAAGAACACCGGUGGCGAAGGCGGCUCACUGGCUCAUUUCUGACGCUCAGGCGCGACAGCGUGGGAUCGAAACAAGG